AGUGAACGCUGGCGGUAUGCCUAACACAUGCAAGUCGAACGGCAGCACAGUAAGAGCUUGCUCUUACGGGUGGCGAGUGGCGUACGGGUGAGGAAUACAUCGGAAUCUACUUUUUCGUGGGGGUUAACGUAGGGAAACUUACGCUAAUACCGCAUACGACCUACGGGUGAAAGCAGGGGAUCUUCGGACCUUGCGCGAUUGAAUGAGCCGAUGUCGGAUUAGCUAGUUGGCGGGGUAAAGGCCCACCAAGGCGACGAUCCGUAGCUGGUCUGAGAGGAUGAUCGGCCACACUGGAGCUGAGACACGGUCCAGACUCCUACGGGAGGCAGCAGUGGGGAAUAUUGGACAAUGGGCGCAAGCCUGAUCCAGCCAUACCGCGUGGGUGAAGAAGGCCUUCGGGUUGUAAAGCCCUUUUGUUGGGAAAGAAAAGCAGCAGGUUAAUACCCCGCUGUUCUGACGGUACCCAAAGAAUAAGCACCGGCUAACUUCGUG
rnacentral:rRNA from 1 species